UUAUUCAUGCUAGGGCAAUGACACAGCUAUUGAGGUUCUAACUGAGGCACGUCUAUUGCUGGUUGAAAACUAUUUCCAAGAAAUAUUUGUUAUUCAUGCUUAUAAUUAUUAAUCUUGAACUACACAUACAUAUUUGUACUUUUUCUCUA